CGGACCAUUGGUCAGGGUUGGCCUGAGACCUGGAGCAGGCGUCGCAGAGACGGUCGUGGACGGUGAGUUCGACGAGGUGGGACUGCUCGAGGAUGGCGCCAUGGAGGGCCUCGGCCUGGACGCGGAGGCGGAGGCGGAGGCGCUUGGAGUGGGGCUCGGUCCAGAUGAACUCGGCGUGGACGAGGCGGACGCGUCGAAGGGGGAGGCGGAGGCGGCGGAGGCAGAAGGCGAGCAGCUCCUUGGACUCCGGUUCCAGGCCACGGAGCCAGGUGCGCGGCGGCUGUAGGUAGGAGCGGCACUCGGGGCAGUGGACCACGGCGGCGUGGCGGGUGAGACCCUCGGUGAUGUCCACCCUGGAGCGCAGGCAGCCCACGCACAUGUUAGCCGGGUUGGGCGGCAUCGCCACCCCGCAGAUGCAGCACAGCACCGUGCCCACCGUCUGUGACGGCACGAACAUGCCCGACGCCGACAGAUCCGACAUAUCCUCGAUGCCGACGCCCUCCUCCUCUUCCUCUUCCUCUUCGAUCGAUUGACUGAAUGGAUAAAUGGGACGGAAUAUAUACGCGGGAUUAGGGUUCUGGGGCGGUGCGGCAAG
rnacentral:lncRNA from 1 species